UUGGAGGGCAAGUCUGGUGCCAGCAGCCGCGGUAAUUCCAGCUCCAAUAGCGUAUAUUAAAGUUGUUGCAGUUAAAAAGCUCGUAGUUGAGUUUCGGGAUUCAUCCGUUGGUCGGGCCUCACGGUCCGUACUGGUGUGAUGGGUUCCUACCUUCUGAAUAACCGGCAUGCCAUUAAUUUGGUGCGCCGGGGAAGCAGAACUAUUACCUUGAAAAAAUUAGAGUGCUUAAAGCAGGCAAGUGCCUGAAUAGGUUAGCAUGGAAUAAUAAAAUAGGACGGCAUGGUUCUAUUUUGUUGGUUUCUAGGAUCACCGUAAUGAUUAAUAGGGAUAGUUGGGGGCAUUAGUAUUCAAUUGUCAGAGGUGAAAUUCUUGGAUUUAUUGAAGACUAACUUCUGCGAAAGCAUUUGCCAAGGAUGUUUUCAUUAAUCAAGAACGAAAGUUAGGGGAUCGAAGACGAUCAGAUACCGUCGUAGUCUUAACCAAAAACUAUGCCGACUAGGGAUCGGACGAUGUUAAUUUUUUAAUGACUCGUUCGGCGCCUUACGGGAAAC
rnacentral:rRNA from 1 species